CUGAAAGCGAUUAUAACGUUUGUAUGGGCGGAGU
rnacentral:sRNA from 1 species